ACAACGCGAACAAGCAAGGAGCAAAUUGAGUGCUACCUGUCAUUUAUGCGGAGCCACCCUGAGUUAAAGCUCAAUAAAAAUGAUCCUACACGUCCAAAAAGGCUAGAGGAGCUGUGGAUAGAGCUAGCAGAGAAACUUAACGCUCUUAAAGGGCCGAUACGUACUCCGGCUAAAUGGAAAGAGUCUUUAGCCCAUUGGAAAAACCAAGUCCGAUCCAGGGCUAGGAAGGCAAAGGCCUAUUGCUUGGUGACGGGCGGAGGUCCCUGCUUGCAAGAGGAACUCACGGAGAGGGAGCAACAGGCAUUGGAAACUUUCGGGUCGGCCGUGGUUGACGGGAUGACUGAUAUCCCAAACGUUGGUGCCGAGGUAGUACACAUAUACUGUCAGGAUUAAACUUCUUUCUUCAUUAUCAAACUGAAAUACUAAUUUCUUACGACCCCGGUAGUCCUAUUGUCCAAACGACGGACGCAUUAACUGAUACUCCGACAACUUCACGUCACCGCAAAGGAACCUCUGGUGAGAUGUUCGGAGAGAUGAUGGCAUCUAUAAGGGAGAGGAAUGACGAAGAAAGAAAAUACAGAGAAGAAUCUCUAAAAUGCAUGGCAGAAUUUUCUAAUUCCAUGAACAAUAUGGCCAGUGCAAUAUUGACCUUGUCCCAAGCCAU